UCCUCGUUGUGUUGCAAAGUUACUUUUCCAGGUUGUGUCAUUUUUUUGAUUGUUCUACCGUCAAACCAGCGUUCUAACUCCAGAUGUGUGCGAAACCCCGUCUGUGUCUCCAGGGAUCUCUGCUCCAUCCUGACUGCUGGUGAGAAAAAGCCUGACUGAAGAUGUCUGAUGUGGAUGAAGAGGAGGACAGAUCAGAGUCUGAGGACAGAGUUCAGCAGCUCAGACACUCAGCAGAGUCUUCCAGAUCCAGCAGGUUGUCUCAGAAGAGUGACCGGUCUAAAGGUCAUCUUCCUCCAGUCUUCAGUGGUGAACCUGGACCUUCAGACUCAAAAGAGAAGAGGAGUGAUGUCUGUGAGGAGCAGCCAGAAAGAUCUGGAAGCGUUGCUGCACCAAGUAAGAGUGGAC